rnacentral:pre_miRNA from 1 species
GGCUUGUUUUGACUUGCCUGUGCUUCCAGCCACACAGGCAGCUGAAGCAAGCCUG